UAGGGAAUCUUCGGCAAUGGACGAAAGUCUGCCCGAGCAACGCCGCGUGAGUGAAGAAGGUUUUCGGAUCGUAAAACUCUGUUGUUAGAGAAGAACAAGGACGUUAGUAACUGAACGUCCCCUGACGGUAUCUAACCAGAAAGCCACGGCUAACUACGUGCCAGCAGCCGCGGUAAUACGUAGGUGGCAAGCGUUGUCCGGAUUUAUUGGGCGUAAAGCGAGCGCAGGCGGUUUCUUAAGUCUGAUGUGAAAGCCCCCGGCUCAACCGGGGAGGGUCAUUGGAAACUGGGAGACUGGAGUGCAGAAGAGGAGAGUGGAAUUCCAUGUGUAGCGGUGAAAUGCGUAGAUAUAUGGAGGAACACCAGUGGCGAAGGCGGCUCUCUGGUCUGUAACUGACGCUGAGGCUCGAAAGCGUGGGGAGCAAACAGG
rnacentral:rRNA from 1 species